ensembl:lncRNA
UCCAUAUCUGAAGGAUGAGGACGAAGGGAAGGUUUAGGAUUUUGUCGUAGAUCUCAGGUCCGCCUGCAGCUCUGAAGACAACACAACAGAAACCUUUAAACGACUGCAGUGUUUGCUCUUCAUCCUCGUCAGUUAUUCCAGGUGCUGACUCCAUGUGGAUUAGACUCUCAUCUGUUGGUCCUGGUUUCACAAUGAGUCCUGGGCUGGUCUUGGUCCUGGUCUUGGUUUUGGCAGCGCUGAGCUCAGAAUCCAGUCUGCCAGAAGCCCAAACCGGAAGGAAGUUCAUUAUUGUCUUCCCAGAGAACAUGGCCUAUUAUUAUCCAUUCACUCCCAAUAACAAGGUCUGGAUCACAGCCAUGUACGACGAAACGGUCAUCAAUAUCAAACCGCACAACCUAACACCUAAAACAAAGACCAUACACGCUGGAGAGUCCUUCAUCUUCAAGACCAAGCUGGAGCUGGGGAAGUUUGAAAUCAGUGAGAAAACUCUGGUGAUUGACAGCAACAAAAAAAUCACAGUCCAAGCAGUCAGCAUGAAAAACAACAGCGUGCAGUCAGCUCUGAUCAUUCCAGCAGAGAAGUUGAGCUCAGAGUACCUCAUCCCACCGGUGCCCACCAUCCCUGGAACCAACGACCAGUCCACCAAAGAUGUGAUUGAAAGAAACCCGUUCCAGCUUCUCAUCGUCAGCACUGGCCAGGAGACCACAGUGACAGUCAAAGAUCUGGCCACUGAACAGGUGAAGCUCAAUCUCUUCGCAGUCGCCAAGUUCUGGGUCCCGGUGAAGGAGCAGUCAGUGGCCGUGAAUGCCAACAAGCCGGUGGCAGUUCUCCUCACUCACCCCUGUGCCAUCGAACACAGCUGUACCUGCAGGCUGCUGUCCGCCCUGCUGCCACCGGCCAGACACACCAAGCUCCGGUUCUUCAUUCCUCCUUUUCUGGCCAACGACAAAACCAAGCUCCUUCUGUCAGGACCUUCAGAAAUAAAAACAUAUGACCCAAACUCGCCCCUGGUGGAGAGUACCGGCCCAGCCCUUCUGUACCGGCCUGGCCUUCUCCUCCCGCUCAUCCCAGAGACAGACUUCGCCUCCUGCUAUCUCGUCAACAAGAUCUCUGACACGAAGAGCUUCGCUGUGAUCACAGUCCACAAAGAUUUCACUGAAGGGGUCCGGAUCAUAACGGAUCCCCCAAAGAGUCCAGACUGGGAGCAGCUCAAAGGGACCGAAUACGUUUCAACGGCAGUUGAGUUGGUGGAAGACAAGAAUGUCAUCUGGCACACAUCCUCCAAAAUGGCCGUCUACUUUGCAGGACGGAAGAACGAUUCUCUGUUUGGGAACCCGGCCUCCAUCAUCAGUGCGUCCCCAGACUUCCGGGGCUGCCCGCUGACUCCCGAGGUCUUAGAGCUCGGAGAAGUGGCCGGCGGGUGGAAGGAAUCCGUGAAGUACUGCAAAGACAAGAACCUUGAGCUGAUCAGCAUGUCUGAGCCCAAGUUCAGGGACCACGUCCACAGAAAGAUGGUCCAGAGCAAGAGCAAGAGGGUGAGGGAGGUCUGGAUCGGCCUGCGCCGCAGCUCCCUGACCGCAAACUGGUACUGGCUGAACAACAAGUCAGUGAACAGCACCAACUGGGAGGCCGGGGAGCCCGGCGCCUCACACGACGGCCAGUGCGCCGUUAUGAGUCUGGAAGAAAAGAAGAACUUUGAGUGGAGAGACGAGGACUGCUGCAAGGCCACACAUCCUGUCUGCUACCAAGAGGCCGACCUCCUGCCCCUGUAGGGGGCAAACCAAUUAGCUGCUGGGUCCAAGUCUGUUCCUCUGAGUCUGACGUGCACAGGUCAACGUGAUGUCAUCACCUGGCUCCAAAUUUAUAGAGUGUUUCCGUACACGAUUUCCAUGUAACAAUGGUCAUGUCGCUGGGAAACAGACUUGGAAGCAUCAUCUGAAAUAUUUUCUUUUUUGUUUCCCAAACGGUCGCGUUCAGAUGAAGUGUCAUGAACCCAGAGGAGCGAGGUCAGAGGUCAGAGGUCAUGUGAUGAGUGAUCUGACGUUCGUUAACCUGCAGCCUCUAAAAAGUUCAUCCUGAUCUCACUUCCUGCUUUGGUUUAAAAUAGCUACAUUUUACAGACUUUAUUUUGAUCCUCCAGAACAGAAGCUAUAUUGAGACAUAAAUGUCUGUAGAUAUAAACUUUUAAAUGUGUCGUAGCUUCAGAAUAGACUCGGUUUGAUCUGUGAUGUCAGUGAAACAUGAUGACACCAUUAAAUUCAUUUGUGUGAAACAUUGAUGUUGUUUAUCUUCAUUGUCUUCAGGAAGCU